UACGUAGGUGGCGAGCGUUGUCCGGAUUUACUGGGCGUAAAGCGCGCGCAGGCGGACUGAUCAGUCUGGGGUGAAAUCUCACGGCUCAACUGUGAGCGGUCCCUGGAUACUGUCAGUCUUGAGAUGUCUAGAGGAGAGCGGAAUUCCCGGUGUAGUGGUGGAAUGCGUAGAUAUCGGGAAGAACACCAGUGGCGAAAGCGGCUCUCUGGGGACCAUCUGACGCUGAGGCGCGAAAGCCAGGGGAGCGAACGGG
rnacentral:rRNA from 1 species